rnacentral:rRNA from 1 species
CGUACACUCCUACGGGAGGCAGCAGUGGGGAAUAUUGCACAAUGGGCGCAAGCCUGAUGCAGCCAUGCCGCGUGUAUGAAGAAGGCCUUCGGGUUGUAAAGUACUUUCAGCGGGGAGGAAGGCGAUAAGGUUAAUAACCUUGUUGAUUGACGUUACCCGCAGAAGAAGCACCGGCUAACUCCGUGCCAGCAGCCGCGGUAAUACGGAGGGUGCAAGCGUUAAUCGGAAUUACUGGGCGUAAAGCGCACGCAGGCGGUCUGUCAAGUCGGAUGUGAAAUCCCCGGGCUCAACCUGGGAACUGCAUUCGAAACUGGCAGGCUAGAGUCUUGUAGAGGGGGGUAGAAUUCCAGGUGUAGCGGUGAAAUGCGUAGAGAUCUGGAGGAAUACCGGUGGCGAAGGCGGCCCCCUGGACAAAGACUGACGCUCAGGUGCGAAAGCGUGGGGAGCAAACAGGAUUAGAUACCCGAGUAGUCCCAUG